AUUAAGCAUAUAAGUAAGUGGUGGAAGAAAAAAUAAACAUGAUUCUUUUAGUAAUGGCGAAUGAACAAAGACAUGGUCAUUUUGAAAAUUGUGGUCUUAGAUCAUGAAUUGUAUUUUCAAAAUGCAUUGCUAACACAACUGCACAUGUUUGUUUAUUGGAAAGAACAUCACAAAGGGUGACAAUCCCAUGUGUCAUGUGUAUGUUUUGUGUACAGCGUGCAUUAUAUGAAUCACAUUCAUUGACAAUUGAAUGCAAAUAGAAUGGUAAAUUUCAUUUAAUCAUAAAUAUGUUGUUGACAACUUAUAGCAAACAAAUACCAUGAGGGAAAUGUGAAAAGGAUUUUGAAAAGAAAAUUAAAAGAGCUUGCAAUUGCUGAACUGAUAAGCAAACAAAACAUACGUGUGUAUGCAAGAUUGUUGUAAUGCUUAGCAUCUUAUGCAAGGCUAUUGCAAUGAUUUUUUGUAUAGUGAUGCUACCUUUUUUUAGAAUUUGGAAUGUCUUUUUUUGAGUGUGAAUGGAAUUUUGUUUGUUAGCAAAGGAAUGCACUUUUAGAUUCAUUGUUUGAUUUGAUUUAAAAAUGUUUGUGACACAUGUCUUUGUUUUAGUUUCAUGCUUCAACCAAGGACAUUGUGUUUGAUCCAUAUCAGCAAUACAUGUUUUGUUUGACCCGUCUUGAAACACGGACCAAGGAGUUUAAUUUAUGUGCAAGAUCAUGAAACUGACAUUUGUAUAUCAAUGAAAAUAUUUUGUUGGGAUUUGUGCACCAACAACUGAUAAGUUGUGUGACGCGACGUUGAGUUUGAGCAUGUUGAUUAAAACCCGAAAGAUGGUGAACUAUGCCUGAACAGAAUGAAGUCAGA
rnacentral:rRNA from 1 species